ACAGCCCGAUCUUCGGUCCUACCGGUUGAAUGGUCCGGUGAAGUGUUCGGACAGCGGCGACGGGGGUGGUUUGCCGCCCCCGAUGUCGCGAGAAUUCCAUUGAACCUUAUCAUUUAGAGGAAGGAGAAGUCGUAACAAGGUUUCCGUAGGUGAACCUGCGGAAG
rfam:Triticum aestivum genome assembly, contig: Triticum_aestivum_CS42_TGACv1_scaffold_020425_1AS